GGAAGCAGCUUCUAGGGUUCCGGUUCGCGUCAGUUCGCUUCAGCGAGCCCGAUGCGGCGUCUGGUCCGAGAGAAGCUCACCGGGGUCACCCGGUUGCACGGAGGGAUAAAAGCCCGGGAGAC
rnacentral:sRNA from 18 species